CUGCCCUUGCCAAUUUUGUGGGGCAGUGCAUGUAAUUUGGAGGAAGGUGAUUUUUUUCCGUCCUGUUAUACAACAGGGCGGCCAUCACCUCCCUUGCCUCAAUUUCUGGUGGUACUUCUUUCACCUGCACUUGA